rnacentral:lncRNA from 1 species
GCUUGAUUUCUCCUUUAAAUGGCAGUGAGGUCACACUCGUGUGUUUGUGACAUAGCAGCAGGUUGCCAUGGAGAUGAUAGCUUUAUCAGUGACUCUGUCUUGCCUUGACUUCCCAGCAAGGUUAUGGAGAAGCAGAUGGGCUGUGAAGGAGG